UUUUCUCCCCAAGCUAACAUUUUAAGGUCCCUCUUGUUUUUUUUUAAAUAACUAAUAGAAACCAAUUUUUUUUUGCUUUGUUAGAACAUUUGGCCUUAGAAUAAUUUAAACAAUUUAUAAAAACUUAUAUAUUUUGCUCUUUUUCUUAUUUAACAAAAAUAAAUAAAUUUUAAAAAUCAUUAGCGUGGAUGUCCCCGACCUGAUUUUUCAAUGAAUCCAUAGCAAUAUUUUCAUCAUGGAGGUUUAAUAACUUAUUUUGUAAUAGUUUACAUGUACCCUAAUAACCACUUAUUCCAACCAUACAACAACAGUUUUAAAAUGUAAUAUAAAUAACUUAAUAUGACAGCUUAAAGUUUGUCCCCAACUGUCCGCGUCAUUAGCGUGGACCAACAGUUAACAGUUUAAAAUUCCCGCGUGAUAUACCCAACCGGAAAUUACCGUUUAUAUUUAAAUUUCUAUCCCCUCCAACAAUACAGUUAAGGUAUUUUUCCUGCGCAAUAUUUAUUUAGUCUUCAUAGAUACGCGUUAAAAAGUACGUGCACGUGGUCGUGUAUUAAGCUUCGUCAUUAGAGUGGAGGAAUCAUUGAAAAAAUUGAUCGAAACAUUAUGACUGUUAACUUUAUGAUGAAAAAUGGUAAAAGUUUUUUCUGGCCAGAUAUCGCUGAUCGUCAAACUGUGACUACUAGAAAUGGAAUCUUAUGUCAGCUAGUGCAUCCACCUGAACCAGUUUCCAAUAGAUUCUACAAAAUACAAGAAUAUGACUAUAUUGAUAAUUUAUUUAAAUCUUCAGUUUAGAUGUUGUAUGGUAAAGGAAUGAAAUCAAGUGAAUGGUUUCACAUAGCUGAUGUUUCUUUUUUUAUUAUUUCUACAUUUUUUUGGGGCAAAAUGUUAAAAUGAAAUGUUCUUUUUUCUUUUAAUAUAAGUUGAUUUUUGAUGUAAACUUAGGGGUUGUUUUAUUUUUUAUCAUUAGAGU
rnacentral:misc_RNA from 1 species